CAGUAGCCGCGGUAAUACGAAGGGGGCUAGCGUUGUUCGGAAUUACUGGACGUAAAGCGCGUGUAGGCGGGUCUUUAAGUCAGAGGUGAAAUGCCAAGGCUCAACCUUGGAACUGCCUUUGAUACUGGAGAUCUUGAGUCCGGGAGAGGUGAGUGGAAUUGCGAGUGUAGAGGUGAAAUUCGUAGAUAUUCGCAAGAACACCAGUGGCGAAGGCGGCUCACUGGCCCGGAACUGACGCUGAGACGCGAAAGCGUGGGGAGCAAACAGGAUUAGAUACCCCCGUAGUCCCUGUCUCUUAUAC
rnacentral:rRNA from 1 species